rnacentral:snRNA from 1 species
AAAUCUUGUUUCCUUAUUUGCAGCUUCACUUGUUCUUAUCAGCUGUAAUAUCUGAUACGUCCUCCAUUGGAGGCUGUGUAUUGAGCACAUUUUUGGUCCUGGGAGGUGGAACUGGAGCUUGCUCCAUCCCCUCCAUGCAUCAGCCUGGUAUUAUAGUGCUUCUUUCUUUCUUUCAUUUGUC